GACAGAGGUCCCGAGCGUUAGGCGGAAUCACUGGGCUUAAAGCGUGUGUAGGCGGAUCGUUAAGUGCCUUGUGAAAUCCCACGGCUUAACCGUGGAACUGCUUGGCAUACUGGCGGUCUUGAGCCACUUAGGGGCAACCGGAACAAAUGGUGGAGCGGUGAAAUGCGUAGAGAUCGGAAGGAACGUCAAUGGCGAAGGCAGCCACCUGGCUUAAUACUGACGCUGAGGCGCGAAAGCGUGGGGAGCGAACAGGA
rnacentral:rRNA from 1 species